GAACGAAGCCUUCGGGCUUAGUGGCGGACGGGUUAGUAACGCGUGGGAACGUGCCUUUCACUACGGAAUAGUCCCGGGAAACUGGGUUUAAUACCGUAUACGCCCUUCGGGGGAAAGAAUUUCGGUGAAAGAUCGGCCCGCGUUAGAUUAGGUAGUUGGUGGGGUAAUGGCCUACCAAGCCUACGAUCUAUAGCUGGUUUUAGAGGAUGAUCAGCAACACUGGGACUGAGACACGGCCCAGACUCCUACGGGAGGCAGCAGUGGGGAAUCUUGGACAAUGGGCGCAAGCCUGAUCCAGCCAUGCCGCGUGAGUGAUGAAGGCCUUAGGGUCGUAAAGCUCUUUCGCCAGGGAUGAUAAUGACAGUACCUGGUAAAGAAACCCCGGCUAACUCCGUGCCAGCAGCCGCGGUAAUACGGAGGGGGUUAGCGUUGUUCGGAAUUACUGGGCGUAAAGCGCGCGUAGGCGGAUCGGAAAGUUGGGGGUGAAAUCCCGGGGCUCAACCCCGGAACUGCCUCCAAAACUAUCGGUCUAGAGUUCGAGAGAGGUGAGUGGAAUUCCGAGUGUAGAGGUGAAAUUCGUAGAUAUUCGGAGGAACACCAGUGGCGAAGGCGGCUCACUGGCUC
rnacentral:rRNA from 1 species